UACACCCAGUUACAUUCCGAACCUGGAAGUUAAGCCCUUAAACGCCGAAAGUACUGAAUUGGAGACGAUUUGGGAGGAUAGGUAUUUGCCAAGC
rnacentral:rRNA from 1 species